rnacentral:rRNA from 1 species
UACGAAGGGGGCGAGCGCUGUUCGGAAUUACUGGGCGGAAAGGGCGCGCAGGCGGCUCUGAGAGUCAGAUGUGAAAGCCCCGGGCUUAACCUGGGAAUUGCAUUUGAUACUCUGGAGCUUGAGUACGGGAGAGGAGAGUGGAAUUCCCAGUGUAGAGGUGAAAUUCGUAGAUAUUGGGAAGAACACCGGUGGCGAAGGCGGCUCUCUGGACCGUAACUGACGCUGAGGCGCGAAAGCGUGGGGAGCAAACAGG